ACUACGCUCGUCACUGGGGGAUAACACUUAGAAAUAGGUGCUAAUACCGCAUAAGCGCACAGAGCCGCAUGGCUCAGUGUGAAAAACUCGGUGGUGUAAGAUGGAUCCGCGUCUGAUUAGCUGGUUGGCGGGGUAGAAGCCCACCAAGGCGACGAUCAGUAGCCGGCCUGAGAGGGUGAACGGCCACAUUGGGACUGAGACACGGCCCAAACUCCUACGGGAGGCAGCAG
rnacentral:rRNA from 1 species